GAUGAACGCUGGCGGCGUGCUUAACACAUGCAAGUCGAACGGGAAUUACUUUAUUGAAGCUUCGGUCGAUUUAAUUUAAUUCUAGUGGCGGACGGGUGAGUAACGCGUGGGUAACCUGCCUUGUACAGGGGGAUAACAGUCAGAAAUGGCUGCUAAUACCGCAUAAGCGCACAGAGCUGCAUGGCUCAGUGUGAAAAACUCCGGUGGUAUAAGAUGGACCCGCGUUGGAUUAGCUAGUUGGUGGGGUAACGGCCCACCAAGGCGACGAUCCAUAGCCGGCCUGAGAGGGUGAACGGCCACAUUGGGACUGAGACACGGCCCAGACUCCUACGGGAGGCAGCAGUGGGGAAUAUUGCACAAUGGGGGAAACCCUGAUGCAGCGACGCCGCGUGAAGGAAGAAGUAUCUCGGUAUGUAAACUUCUAUCAGCAGGGAAGAUAGUGACGGUACCUGACUAAGAAGCCCCGGCUAACUACGUGCCAGC
rnacentral:rRNA from 1 species